UGCUUUAGAAACAGGAGUUCUGGGCUGUAGUGCGCUGUGCCGAUCGGGUGUUCAGCAUCAAUAUGGUGACCUCCCGGGAGUGGGGGACCACCAGGUUGCCUAAGGAGGGGUGAACCGGCCCAGGUCGGAAACUGAGCAGGUUAAAACUCCCGUGCCGAUCAAUAGUGGGAUGGUGCCUGUGAAUAGGCACUGCACUCCAGCCUGGGCAAUAGAGCG
rnacentral:sRNA from 13 species